GCCAGCAGCCAUAUCACCCUGCAACUCACAACUGGCAGCCCACUGAAGCUAAGCAGGUGUGAGCCUGGUCAGUACCCAGAUGUGAGACUUCCUUGAAAAAACUAAGGUUGCUGCUGGAA
rnacentral:rRNA from 1 species